rnacentral:rRNA from 1 species
AGGGUUCGAUCCUGGCUCAGGAUGAACGCUGGCGGCGUGCUUAACACAUGCAAGUCGAACGAAGCACUUAAGAUUGACUCUUCGGAUGAUUUCUUUUGUGACUUAGUGGCGGACGGGUGAGUAACGCGUGGGUAACCUGCCUCACACAGGGGGAUAACAGUUAGAAAUGACUGCUAAUACCGCAUAACCCGAUAGGAUCGCAUGAUCCAGACGGAAAAGAUUUAUCGGUGUGAGAUGGACCCGCGUCUGAUUAGCUAGUUGGUGAGGUAACGGCCCACCAAGGCGACGAUCAGUAGCCGGCCUGAGAGGGUGAACGGCCACAUUGGGACUGAGACACGGCCCAA